rnacentral:lncRNA from 12 species
CAGCACCAGACCUGAAGAGGGACAAUGAGUUAGACACAUCAAGGCAUAUAGUGCAACACUAAAUGUUUGACAUCUUUCGCCCCAGCUGCAGGAGACAGGAAUUUAUUUCCAGAAAGGAGGAGAAACAUGGAGUGCCUUU